rnacentral:rRNA from 1 species
UACAGAGGGGGCAAGCGUUGUUCGGAAUUACUGGGCGUAAAGGGCGCGUAGGCGGCCUUCUAAGUCAGACGUGAAAUCCCUCAGCUCAACUGGGGAACUGCGUCUGAGACUGGUGGGCUUGAGUGCAGGAGAGGAACGCGGAAUUCCAGGUGUAGCGGUGAAAUGCGUAGAUAUCUGGAGGAACACCGGUGGCGAAGGCGGCGUUCUGGACUGUUACUGACACUGAGGAACGAAAGCCAGGGGAGCAAACGGG